rnacentral:rRNA from 1 species
CGAAGAUAUUAAGGGCGCACGGCGGAUGCCUUGGCACAGGAAGUCGAUGAAGGACGUGGCAAGCUGCGAUAAGCUCAGGGGAGGGGCAAACACCCUUUGAUCCUGAGAUCUCCGAAUGGGGGAACCCAACAGGGGUCAUGCCCUGUUACCUGCACCUGAAUAUAUAGGGUGCAAGGAGGCAACUUGGGGAACUGAAACAUCUAAGUACCCAAAGGAAGAGAAAUCAACCGAGAUUGCGCGAGUAGCGGCGAGCGAAAGCGCACUAGCCCAAACCCAUGUGUGUGUCAAGCCUGAGGGCGUUGCCACAUGAGGUGUUGUGGGGUCACAUAAUCUAGGUGCCUCAGCGCCUAGACAAGGUUACAAAUUUGCGUGAUAGCAAAACGACUUGGGAAAGUCGGCGACACAAGGUGAAAGCCCUGUAUGCGAAAUUGCGCAAACCUUGCAUGUGAUUCCCGAGUAGCGCCGGGCACGUGAAACCCGGUGCGAAGCUGGGGGGACCACCCUCCAAGGCUAAAUACUCUCCUGUGACCGAUAGCGAACCAGUACCGUGAGGGAAAGGUGAAAAGCACCCCGAGAGGGGAGUGAAAUAGUACCUGAAACCGUGCGCCUACAAGCAGUCGGAGCAGCCUUUGCGCUGUGACGGCGUGCCUUUUGUAGAAUGAGCCAGCGAGUUACGGUAUGCGGCGAGGUUAAGUUAAGAAACGAGCCGUAGUGAAAGCGAGCCUUUAAGAUGGCGAGUUAGUCGUAUGCUGUAGACGCGAAGCCGAUGUGAGCUAUCCAUGGGCAGGCUGAAGCGGGGGUAAGACCCCGUGGAGGGCCGAACCCACUUCGGUUGAAAACGGAGGGGAUGACCUGUGGAUAGGGGUGAAAGGCCAAUCAAACUCGGAGAUAUCUCGUUCUCCCCGAAAUAGCUUUAGGGCUAGCCUCGGUCGUUUCCCUUAGGUGGUAGAGCACUGGAUCGUCGCGGGGGCUUCACCGCCUACCAACACGAACCAAACUCCGAAUGCCUAAGGAUUAGAGACCGGGAGUCAGAGGACGUGGGCUAAGCUGCGUGCUCGAAAGGGAAACAGCCCAGACCGCCCGCUAAGGCCCCCAAGUCCGUGCUAAGUGGCAAAGGAUGUGCGUUUGCCUAGACAACCAGGAUGUUGGCUUAGAAGCAGCCAUGCAUUUAAAGAGUGCGUAACAGCUCACUGGUCAAGUGGACAUGCGCCGACAAUUCACGGGGCUAAGCACGGCGCCGAAGCGGCGGACUGAAUUAUUUCAGUGGUAGGGGAGCUUUCCUAUCUGCGACGAAGCAGACGGGUAACCGUUUGUGGAGCGUUAGGAAGUGAGAAUGCUGGCAUGAGUAACGAGAGCGGCGCGAGAAACGCCGCCGCCGUAAGCCCAAGGGUUCCUGGGCGAGGCUAAUCCUCCCAGGGUCAGUCGGGAGCUAAGGCGAGGCCGAGAGGCGUAGCCGAUGCACAACAGGCGGACAUUCCUGUACCGCUGCCAGACCAUUAUGACCGAAGGGGCGACGGAGAAGGGUAACCGAGCGGGGUUCUGGACGUCCCCGUGAAAGCGUGUAGGGCGCAAAGCAUGGAAAUCAGCUUUGCACAUAAGCCUGAGACGCGAGACGAAGCCAUUAGGCGAAGUCGGCGAGCCCAUGCUUCCUAGAAAAACCUCUAGGCAGGUCGGGCGGCGCCCGUACCAAAACCGACACAGGUGGGCGGGUAGAGCAUACCGAGGCGAUCGGGAGAACCAUGGUUAAGGAACUCGGCAUACUGACUCCGUAACUUCGGGAGAAGGAGUGCCCCUUGAGGUAUAACAACUUGCUUGUGAAGCUUUGGGGGGUCGCAGCGAAACGGCCCAAGCGACUGUUUAUCAAAAACACAGGACUCUGCAAAGUCGUAAGACGACGUAUAGGGUCUGACGCCUGCCCGGUGCUGGAAGGUUACGUGGAUGGGUUAGCCUUUUUGGCGAAGCUUUGAAACUAAGCCCCAGUAAACGGCGGCCGUAACUAUAACGGUCCUAAGGUAGCGAAAUUCCUUGUCGGGUAAGUUCCGACCUGC